rnacentral:rRNA from 1 species
AUUGAACGCUGGCGGCAGGCUUAACACAUGCAAGUCGAGCGGGGGAGGUUGCUUCGGUAACUGACCUAGCGGCGGACGGGUGAGUAAUGCUUAGGAAUCUGCCUAUUAGUGGGGGACAACAUUCCGAAAGGGAUGCUAAUACCGCAUACGCCCUACGGGUGAAAGCAGGGGAUCCUCGGACCUUGCGCUAAUAGAUGAGCCUAAGUCGGAUUAGCUAGUUGGUGGGGUAAAGGCCUACCAAGGCGACGAUCUGUAGCGGGUCUGAGAGGAUGAUCCGCCACACUGGGACUGAGACACGGCCCAGACUCCUACGGGAGGCAGCAGUGGGGAAUAUUGGACAAUGGGCGGAAGCCUGAUCCAGCCAUGCCGCGUGUGUGAAGAAGGCCUUUUGGUUGUAAAGCACUUUAAGCGAGGAGGAGGCUCUUAAGGUUAAUACCCUUGAUGAGUGGACGUUACUCGCAGAAUAAGCACCGGCUAACUCUGUGCCAGCCGCCGCAGUAACAC